GGCAAACUCAUCCACUUCUUUGCUUCCAUAUCCCAGUUCCAUAGCUCUCUGCAGGAAUGGAUCCCCUUCCCAUACACACAAUGAUCUGCCUUGUAUGUUGGUCAUUUUGGUUAUUCCCGUUCUGUGCAUCAUCCGGCAGCCGCCUUCUUCCCGACAAGCCGCUUUCUGCUGGAAGCACCAUCACCUCCGAUGACGGCACUUUUGCCCUGGGGUUCUUCUCCCCGUCCAGCUCUGGCAUAAAACAUUACUACGUCGGCAUAUGGUACAAGAACAUACCCCAAGACAACAUUGUGUGGGUUGCCAACCGUGCUAUGCCGAUCGCCGAUCCUUCUUCUGCAACACUCGCCUUAACAAAAGAAUUCAAUCUCGCCUUGUCAGACACCAACGGCCAGCUUCUCUGGACGACAAACAUCAGUGCUACAGGAAAUUCAUCGUCAGAGGCAACUGGUGGAGAAGCCAUGCUUGAUAACAAUGGGAAUUUUAUCCUUCGGUCAUCAAAAGGCAUCAUCUUAUGGCAAAGCUUCCAGGUAUGAACCUCAGGAUCACCCACAGGACGCAUGCACUACAACGGCUCAUCUCUUGGCGAAACCCCCAAGACCCAUCCCCAGGUAACUUCUCAUAUGGUGCAGACCCUGAUGAGUUUCGGCAGCGUUUUAUAUGGAAUGGCUCAACACCAUACCGGCGAAGUUCAGUAUGGAAUAACAAUUUGGUAGUCGGGCAGUAUGUCGAGAAUAUCAAGUCCACAAUUUACUAUACACUGCAAACUAUUGAUGAUGAGGUAUACAUUUCCUAUGGACUACCAGUACCAAGUGUCUCAUUAGUGCUAAUGAAGAUGGACUACUCAGGCAAGCUAAAUACAUGAGUAUGGAAUAGCAAUAUGUCCAUAUUGACUGACCUGACGUCACAACCUAACCAAGAAUGCAACAAAUUUGGUUACUGUGGUCCAUUUGGUUACUGCGACAACACACAGCCCAUUGUGACAUGCAAGUGUAUUGAUGGAUUUGAGCCAAACAACAAACAAGACUGGACGGCCCGCAGGUUUUCGCAGGGAUGCCACCGGAUGGAAGCACUAAGAUGUGGUCAAGGGGAUGGCUUCUUAAAUACGUCAAACAUGAAGGUUCCUGACCAGUUCGUUUUUGUCAAGAAUAGAAGCUUAGAUGAAUGCAUAGCAGAAUGCACCAGCAACUGCUCCUGCACGGCGUAUGCUUACGCCAAUAUGAGCACCAAGUUUAUGAAUGGCGAUGAAACUAGGUGCCUAUUAUGGAUUGGAGAUUUGAUUGACACAGAAGCUAAUUGGACAAGGGGAAAACCUCUACAUCCGGAUUAAUGGAUUGAGUGGUAAAGAGCGGAAGAGCGCUAUUCUAAAAAUUGCACUGCCGGUCUUGUCAUGUUUGCUCGUAAUCAUCUGCGUGUGCUUUGUUUGGAUAUGCAACUUUGGAGGCAAACAAAGAAACAAGAAAAUUUGGAAGAAACUGAUGUCAGGAACUUCGAGCACUUUUGCUGAGCUUCGCGAUGUAAACUUGAAGUAUGCUUUUAUUAGCUUCAAAGAAAUUGUACUUGCAACAAACAAAUUCUCUAACUCCAACAUGCUUGGACAUGGAGGUUUUGGCAACGUCUACAAGGGGACAUUAGAAAAUGGUACAGAAAUUGCCGUGAAAAGGCUAAGUAAGGGUUCUGGCCAGGGAACACUGGAAUUCAGAAAUGAAGUAAUACUCAUUGCGAAGUUGCAGCACAAAAACUUGGUUAGGCUUCUCGGUUUCUGCAUCCAUGGAGAUGAGAAACUAUUGAUAUAUGAAUACUUGCCUAAAAAAAGUCUGGACGCCAUGCUUUUCAAUGCCACAAGAAAAUCAAUGCUUGAUUGGCCAAUAAGAUUCGAGAUAAUCAAAUGGGUAGCUAGAGGACUUCUUUAUCUUCAUCAAGAUUCAAGGUUGAAGAUAAUUCACAGGGAUCUCAAAGCAAGCAACAUAUUAUUAGAUGCCGAAAUGAGCCCUAAGAUAUCUGAUUUUGGUAUGGCGAGGAUAUUUGGCGGCAAUCAGCAGCAAGAAAAUACCAACCGUGUUGUUGGCACAUAGUAAGUGAUACACUGCAUGAAUUAUCUUUAUGCACUAUUCUUGUGGUUUACCAAAAUUACAAAAAUUAUGUUCUGUAUUCAAACAACGGUUACAUGUCGCCUGAAUAUGCUUUGAAAGGAGUGUUUUCUGUCAAGUCUGAUGUAUAUAGCUUUGGAGUUUUGAUACUAGAGAUUGUGAGUGGCUCAAAGAUCAGCUCUGUGCACCUAAAAGCAGACUUCUCCAGCAUUAUAGCCUAUGUAAGUACUAUGACAUGUUUGAAUUUCUACAAUUACAGUAAAUAUAUGCAUCCUGAAAGGAAUAAGAAUGGAUGCAGGCAGUGGCGGUUCCACCAGGGAGGCUUCAAUAGGCUUAAGCCUACCCUCCAAAAUCCUAUUUAAGCUAAACAUACCACUUGACAAGUAUAUUCUGGUGCUUUACAUGCAACAAUUGCAAUGCAUUUGCUAAUUAGACUCAGAAAAUGUGUGUUUUAAGCCUACCCUCCAAUGUCCUGCUAAAUUCGCCACUGGAUGCAGGCAUGGAGCUUAUGAAAGGAUGGGGACACAAAGGAUUUUAUUGACUCGUCAGUUGUCGGGACUUGUUCUCUUAAUGAAACUAUACGGUGCAUCCAUAUUGGACUCCUAUGUGUUCAAGGCAGCCCAAAUGCGCGGCCACUCAUGUCAUCAGUCCUGUCCUUUCUGGAGAAUGGAGAUAUAUCACUUCUACCUCCAAAAGAGCCUAUGUAUUUUGCAGAAAAUAGCUAUGAUACUGAUGGAUUAGCAAAAAAUACUGUGAAUUGUGCAAGUAACAUGAGCAUUACAGUACUAGAUGGACGCUAGCCCUAUCAAUCAAAUUUAUGUAUAUUUGUAGGUACUUUUUACAACUGUAUGUCGGAUAAGAAACUGGUAUUUGUAUUGAAG
rnacentral:rRNA from 1 species